AUGUGUUGUUUUCAUGGCAGCUUAGACAUCUUUGAAAACUCAAAAGUUUCAGGGUCUCCCCUAGGGUCCUACUGUGACGUCAGCAUGGGCUUCCUGGAUUCCCGAGUCUUGCUGGGCAGGGUGCUUCUCUGGGAGCUCCGUCCAGGCGAGAAGGCUAGUGCCUACAGUCCGAACAAUGAAUGCAAAUUUCAAGUGAACACAGGCGCACGUGUGCAAUCCACUCAAGUUGCAGGUCUACUGAAGAAAACAAUCAUUGAGCACUGAUGGAGAAUUUUCCAGAAGAUACACAGAGAAGGCUGAGCUGAAGAAGAGGUGAAGAUCUUAUGGGCUAUAGUAAUUUCUUGGGCAGUUUCACCACUCUACAGGCUGAUCAAACAUGUGGAACUUGAACUUUAGGAUCGUAACUUGGAUGAAGAGGGGACCCGUGAUUAGCCUAGGUAUAGGUAUGUGGACCUAGUUCACAAAUGAGAAAAAGAGUGGGUUUUUUUUCUGCAGUAAAAAGAUGAAGGUUUUUGACCCAUGCUUUCUGUUUC
rnacentral:lncRNA from 1 species